AACGAACGCUGGCGGCAGGCUUAACACAUGCAAGUCGAACGCGUGUAGCAAUACACGAGUGGCGCACGGGUGAGUAACGCGUGGAUAUCUGCCUUUUGGUUCGGAAUAACCCCGGGAAACUGGGGCUAAUACCGGAUGGUUCCUUCGGGAUAAAGAUUUAUCGCCAAAAGAUGAGUCCGCGUACGAUUAGCUAGUUGGUGAGGUAAUGGCUCACCAAGGCGACGAUCGUUAGCUGGUCUGAGAGGACGAUCAGCCACACUGGGACUGAGACACGGCCCAGACUCCUACGGGAGGCAGCAGUGGGGAAUAUUGGACAAUGGGGGCAACCCUGAUCCAGCCAUGCCGCGUGAGUGAUGAAGGCCUUCGGGUUGUAAAGCUCUUUUGGCGGGGACGAUGAUGACGGUACCCGCAGAAUAAGCCCCGGCUAACUUUGUGCCAGCCGCCGCCGUAACAC
rnacentral:rRNA from 1 species